AGAAAGACAGAGAUCAUCUUUAAGGUGAGUGCCGGGGCAGCUUUUUGAAAUCCAUGAAGUCCUGAUCUGCCUUGCUUGUCGGGUCUUCUCCUCACGACCUUGUCAUGGGUGGGAUCUCGCGUGCUGGCUCCCGGCAACCAACCGACAGAUGAAAA